rnacentral:rRNA from 1 species
GGCGCAAGCCUGAUCCAGGCCAUGCCGCGUGUGGUGAAGAAGGCCUUAUGGUUGUAAAGCACUUUAAGCGAGAGGAGGCUACUUUAGUUAAUACUAGAGAUAGUGGACGUUACUCGCAGAAUAAGCACCGGCUAACUCUGUGCCAGCAGCCGCGGUAAUACAGAGGGUGCAAGCGUUAAUCGGAUUUACUGGGCGUAAAGCGCGCGUAGGCGGCUAAUUAAGUCAAAUGUGAAAUCCCCGAGCUUAACUUGGGAAUUGCAUUCGAUACUGGUUAGCUAGAGUGUGGGAGAGGAUGGUAGAAUUCCAGGUGUAGCGGUGAAAUGCGUAGAGAUCUGGAGGAAUACCGAUGGCGAAGGCAGCCAUCUGGCCUAACACUGACGCUGAGGUGCGAAAGCAUGGGGAGCAAACAGGAUUAGAUACCCUGGUAGUCCAUGCCGUAAACGAUGUCUACUAGCCGUUGGGGCCUUUGAGGCUUUAGUGGCGCAGCUAACGCGAUAAGUAGACCGCCUGGGGAGUACGGUCGCAAGACUAAAACUCAAAUGAAUUGACGGGGGCCCGCACAAGCGGUGGAGCAUGUGGUUUAAUUCGAUGCAACGCGAAGAACCUUACCUGGCCUUGACAUAGUAAGAACUUUCCAGAGAUGGAUUGGUGCCUUCGGGAACUUACAUACAGGUGCUGCAUGGCUGUCGUCAGCUCGUGUCGUGAGAUGUUGGGUUAAGUCCCGCAACGAGCGCAACCCUUUUCCUUAUUUGCCAGCGAGUAAUGUCGGGAACUUUAAGGAUACUGCCAGUGACAAACUGGAGGAAGGCGGGGACGACGUCAAGUCAUCAUGGCCCUUACGGCCAGGGCUACACACGUGCUACAAUGGUCGGUACAAAGGGUUGCUACCUAGCGAUAGGAUGCUAAUCUCAAAAAGCCGAUCGUAGUCCGGAUUGGAGUCUGCAACUCGACUCCAUGAAGUCGGAAUCGCUAGUAAUCGCGGAUCAGAAUGCCGCGGUGAAUACGUUCCCGGGCCUUGUACACACCGCCCGUCACACCAUGGGAGUUUGUUGCACCAGAAGUAGCUAGCCUAACUGCAAAGAGGGCGGUUACCCACCGGGUGGCGU